AAAUAUCAACAGCCUCAGAUUU
rnacentral:miRNA from 8 species